rnacentral:rRNA from 1 species
AAUCAACGCUGGCGGCGUGCUUAACACAUGCAAGUCGAGCGCGAAAGCGGCUUCGGUCGUUAGUAGAGCGGCGGACGGGUGAGGAACACGUGGGUAACCUACCCUCGGGUGGGGAAUAACCCAGGGAAACCUGGGCUAAUUCCGCAUAACAUCUUUAGCUCGCAAGAGUUAUUGAUCAAAGCUGGGGACCCUUCGGGGCCUGGCGCCUGUGGAGGGGCCCGCGGCCGAUUAGCUUGUUGGUGAGGUAACGGCUCACCAAGGCUCCGAUCGGUAGCCGGCCUAAGAGGGCGGACGGCCACACUGGGACUGAGACACGGCCCAGACUCCUACGGGAGGCAGCAGUGGGGAAUUUUUGUCAAUGGGGAAACCCUGAACAAGCAACGCCGCGUGGAGGACGAAGACCCUCGGGUCGUAAACUCCUGUCGGAGGGGACGAAAGCGGUCGUAGUUAAUACCUGCGAUCGUUGACGGUACCCUACGAGGAAGCCCCGGCUAACUCCGUG